UACGUAGGGGGCGAACGUUGCUCGGAAUACUGGGCGUAAAGCGUGCGUAGGUGGCUGAGCAAGUCAAAAAUGAAAUCCCGGGGCCUACCCUCGGAACUGUUUUUGAAACUGCUUAGCUUGAGGAUAGUUGAGGAUAAUGGAAUUCCCGGUGGAGCGGUGAAAUGCGUAGAUAUCGGGAGGAACACCAGAGGCGAAGGCGAUUAUCUGGACUAUUCCUGACACUGAGGUACGAAAGCUAGGGGAGCAAACGGGAUUAGAUACCCCCGUA
rnacentral:rRNA from 1 species